UGAAGUGGAAUAAUUAUUAAAUCUGGAACCACGCUUGUACAGUUUUUUUCGGAAGUUACACUCGCGAUAUUUUGAAAAGAAUUUUUUAAAGGUAAUUAUGUUUUUCUCUUUCUUACAUAUUUGCUGAAUUACAAGAGGAUAUCUUAAUGUGAAUUUCUUGUUGCCAUGCUUAUUUACAGUACUUAUACCAGUCCAUUUUCAUUCAGUUUGAGCUGCAAGGUGAAGCAGGAGAAUGGUGUCAAGUUUGAAGGCAAGCCAAAGAUGCAGUCCUGGAUUUUCCUUGGAAAAAGACAGAAGACAAAAGAUGUUGAAUGUGACAGCUGGAAAUGUAUGUAGUAGGCUACAAGACUGAUUUCCAAACCAAAUGAUAGGCACUGGUAUGUAUUAUUGUUUAUAAUGAUAUCUAAUGUUGUGUAUAAAAGGUUUCAUUGAUAUGUUGAUCUGUUACACACAGGUAAAUGUCAACUUCUCCACUCAAAUUAGAGGUGGAGGAUGAUUGAUCUGGACUUUAGCUUAAGAGGAUUUAACUAAUGUAUUCCAUGUAACUUUUACCAUGAUUUUAGAUGCCUAAGUUCCAAAACAUCAACACUCUUAUUAGCAGAAACACCCAUGGAUGAAGAAUCAGACUGGUUAAUCGGCGGAUGGUGAAAAUUGUCACAUGCUGCAAGAAAGAGAGAUAAAACCCCUCACACCACCAGCACCAACUCGGACAGAUGGUAUCUCAACAUAUAGUAGAUUCACGGUGAUACAUCGUAGAAUAGAUAUAGCUGGUCAACUUAUACAAGAAUGUUGAGGUGAUCUACAACAUGAUUCUACAACUGCCAAUGAACUUCGGUAGAAGAGCUGGAGGGGAGUGGAGUGAGCAGAUUGCAAUACAGUCAAACCUGUCUAUAAAGACCACCCUUGGGAGAGCCAAAAUGUGGUCUUUAUUGGGAGGUGGUCGUUAUUCACAGGUUAAAAUAUAUUGUAAAUGUUAAAAUGGGAAACAAAACACAUGUUCUUUAGAACCAGGUGGUCUCUGUUCAGAGGUGGUCUUUAACACCGGUUUGACUGUAUACACAUCAGUGGGAGUGGAACAGGCAGAUUUCAAUACAUACUACAUCAGUGGGAAAAGCGCAAUGAAGUUCAGCUGUUUCCAGCUUGAAACACAUGGAAUCUUCAGACGCACAAAAUGACAUGGUUGACAUUAUGGAAGUUCAUGGAGUAUGCCUGUAUCCAGACAAAUCUUCAUCUCGUAGAGGUUGAAGUUGCAAGACUGAUGGAAAAUGACAGUGACUGGACAGACAAUGGUGAUGGUGAAGAACUAUAGAAAACUUGGGAAAACUUUUAAUAGUGGCAAUCAACAUGCAGUCAUUGAUUCCAGUAUUCCAGCCAAUGUAUCGCUCGCAAGUUGAAGUUGCAAGGAGAGACUGAUGGAAAAUGACAGUGACUGGACAGACAGUGAUGAUGGUGAAGAACUAGAGAAAACUGUGGAAAACUUUUAAUAGUGGCCAUCAACAAGCAGUCAUUGAUUCCAGUAUUCCAGCCGAUGUAUCCCUCUCGUUAACUUUAAAGCAGGACUUGCUCUGUCAUGUGGGGGAAAAACAUGAAAUGGAGACGAUCACUUACCAGCACACACAGUUGACUUGAGAAGAAAUUUCUUAUCAGUCAGGAGUUGGCCAAAAAGGAUGUUGAUAUUGAUGCACUUCCUCAUGGCAACUUCAGUCCUACAGAACUAGGGGAGGCAACAGUUAUCACUGUUGACCUAGAAACCAUUGACCUUAUUCAGAUGCCACAUGUCACACAAAGCCGCAUACCACAACAAAUCGCUGUAGCACAUAUAUCUAUGUCACACCUAAAGAGGAAAUUUCACCAGAGGCACAAAGGAUCACCAGGAUUGCAUGGAAUAUUCAGACACGAUGAUGAUAAAAAGCACAAUAGUCCAACACAUCUGUACCUGGAAUUAAGUUGACUGUAGAGAAAUUGUGUACUUGGCUUGAAAAGAUCCUAAAGUGAUUUUGGUAGCCCGUUAUGGAAGACAGUUUGAUUUUCCAGUUCUUGUCUCAGCUCUACUGUGCACAAAAAUAACUAGAACAUUAUUCGUCUGAGUUUCUUCUAAAAAGUAUUCUGUUACCAGUGUUCAAGAAACUGUACGUUAAACAGUCAUACUUGCUAUGACACUACAUGUACUUGGUAUCCGGUAUCCUAUAACUGACAGACAGACAAAUUUACUAUGAAAAACUGGGGAGGCCUGCCAAGGGUUUUCAUAUGUUAAAAAAUUUUUUCAAGCAAUGACGUAUACUCCUGAUAAAUUUGGUACCAUAAUGUUCAUUAUCUUAAGUAAAAAAUGACAAUUGUAAUUGGAAAUUUGAAUUGUGUUAUUUUACUCUAUAUUUAAGAAAAUUAAUAUAUUCAAACUUGUAAAUUUUUUUCAUUUGUUAAAAUGUUAUAUUAUAGCUUUAAGUUAAUACCCUCUUUUUUACAAUCUGCCUAAAGAAACACUUUAGUUGUUCUUGUUUAUUAUUUAGCCAUUUCCUUGAUUAAAAAUACACAACAAACUUCUAGCCCAAGACUUUCCAAGGUUGUCAAGUUAUUACUUUCUUUGAUUUUGCUUAAGUUUGUUAAUUAUUGUUAUAUACU
rnacentral:lncRNA from 1 species